rnacentral:rRNA from 1 species
CUCUAUACGGAGUUACAAAGGACGACAUUAGACGAAUCAUCUGGAAAGAUGAAUCAAAGAAGGUAAUAAUCCUGUAGUCGAAAAUGUUGUCUCUCUUGAGUGGAUCCUGAGUACGACGGAGCACGUGAAAUUCCGUCGGAAUCUGGGAGGACCAUCUCCUAAGGCUAAAUACUCUCUAGUGACCGAUAGUGAACCAGUACCGUGAGGGAAAGGUGAAAAGCACCCCGGAAGGGGAGUGAAAUAGAACCUGAAACC